rnacentral:rRNA from 1 species
GAUGAACGCCGGCGGCGUGCCUAAUACACGUAAGUCGAGCGAACAGACGAGAAGCUUGCUCCUCUGACGUUAUCGGCGGACGGGUGAGUAACACGUGGAGAACCUACCUAUAAGACUUGGAUAACUUCUGGAAACCGGAGCUAAUACCGGGUAAUAAAUUGAACCGCAUGGUUCAAUAGUGUAAUACGGUUUUGCUUGCACUUAAAGAUGGCUCCGCGACGCAUUGGCUAGUUGGUAAGAUAACAGCUUACCACGGCAACGAUCCGUAGCCGACCUGAGAGGGUGAUCGCCCACCCUGCAACUUAGACACGUUCCAGACUCCUACGGGAGGCAGCACCAGGCAAUCCCCCGCAAGGAGCGAAAGCCUGACGGUGCAGCGCCGUGUGAGUCAUAGCGGUCCUAUGAUCGUAAACCACUGUUAUUAGGGAAGAACAAAUGUGUCAGUACCUAUGAACGUCUUGACGGUACCUAAUCAGAAAGCCACCGCUAACCAGGUG